rnacentral:rRNA from 1 species
UACGGAGGGUGCGAGCGUUGUCCGGAAUCACUGGGCGUAAAGGGCGCGUAGGCGGCCUGAUAAGUAGGGGGUGAAAUCCUGCGGCUUAACCGCAGGGCUGCCUUCUAAACUGUCGGGCUCGAGCACGGUAGAGGCAGAUGGAAUUCCCGGUGUAGCGGUGGAAUGCGUAGAGAUCGGGAAGAACAUCAGUGGCGAAGGCGGCCUGCUGGGCCGUUGCUGACGCUGAGGCGCGACAGCGUGGGGAGCAAACAGG